UAUUGGUCCUGGGGACUAGGGUGUGGACAUCUUUAGGGGCCAUUAUACUGCCCACCACAGGCAUUUGUCAUCUGUGCUAUUGGGUGGAACCCUGGAGGCUGUCUGUGUGGCCAAGUGUGACCCGUUGUCUUAGCUUGUUUUCUAUUGCUAUUACAAAAGACCUUAUGCUGGGUACUUCAUAAAGAAAUAAGGUUCAUUUAGCUAACAGUUCUGGAGGACUGAGGACAUAAUGCUGGCAUCUGCCCAGCUUCUGGUAAAGGCUUCAUGGUGGUGACUCACAGCAGGUGGCUCAUGGCAGGAGCACAUGCAGGAGAAGACAGAACACCAGAUCACUAAGCCCAUCCCGAGAGACCCAACUCAGUCUCAGGAGACCCAACCCCAUAGAGAGUUCAUGAGGCUGGAGACCUCCUCACCUAAUUGUCUGAAGUCUUACCACCACCCAACACCGCCACAGCAGGAGUCGGAUUUCAGCUUGAGUUCUGGUGGGGACAAACCACAUCUAAAUCUCUGUACCCUGUAGUUGCCAGACCCGGGGAGGUCUUGGGGUAGAGGGC
rnacentral:lncRNA from 1 species